rnacentral:rRNA from 1 species
ACAAGCGGUGGAGCAUGUGGUUUAAUCGAAGCAACGCGAAGAACCUUACCAGGUCUUGACAUCCCGAUGCUAUUUCUAGAGAUAGAAAGUUACUUCGGUACAUCGGUGACAGGUGGUGCAUGGUUGUCGUCAGCUCGUGUCGUGAGAUGUUGGGUUAAGUCCCGCAACGAGCGCAACCCCUAUUGUUAGUUGCCAUCAUUCAGUUGGGCACUCUAGCGAGACUGCCGGUAAUAAACCGGAGGAAGGUGGGGAUGACGUCAAAUCAUCAUGCCCCUUAUGACCUGGGCUACACACGUGCUACAAUGGUUGGUACAACGAGUUGCGAGUCGGUGACGGCGAGCUAAUCUCUUAAAGCCAAUCUCAGUUCGGAUUGUAGGCUGCAACUCGCCUACAUGAAGUCGGAAUCGCUAGUAAUCGCGGAUCAGCACGCCGCGGUGAAUACGUUCCCGGGCCUU